CAUAUGCUUGUCUCAAAGAUUAAGCCAUGCAUGUCUCAGUACAAGCCGCAUUAAGGUGAAACCGCGAAAGGCUCAUUAAAUCAGUUAUGGUUCCUUAGAUCGUACCCACAUUUACUUGGAUAACUGUGGUAAUUCUAGAGCUAAUACAUGCAAACAGAGUUCCGACCGGAGACGGGAGGAAUGCUUUUAUUAGAUCAAAACCAAUCGGCGGCGGGCCUCGGUCCGUUCGCCGCUCAAYUUGGUGACUCUGAAUAACUUUCGGCUGAUCGCACGGUCUCGCACCGGCGACGCAUCUUUCAAAUGUCUGCCUUAUCAACUGUCGAUGGUAGGUUCUGCGCCUACCAUGGUCGUAACGGGUAACGGGGAAUCAGGGUUCGAUUCCGGAGAGGGAGCCUGAGAAACGGCUACCACAUCCAAGGAAGGCAGCAGGCGCGCAAAUUACCCACUCCCGGCACGGGGAGGUAGUGACGAAAAAUAACGAUACGGGACUCAUCCGAGGCCCCGUAAUCGGAAUGAGUACACUUUAAAUCCUUUAACGAGGAUCAAUUGGAGGGCAAGUCUGGUGCCAGCAGCCGCGGUAAUUCCAGCUCCAAU
rnacentral:rRNA from 1 species